rnacentral:rRNA from 1 species
GACGAACGCUGGCGGCGUGCCUAAUACAUGCAAGUCGAACGCAGUGGGGACGGGUGAGUAACACGUGGGUAACCUCCCAUCAGAGGGGAUAACACUUGGAAACAGGUGCUAAACCGAUACGGAGGGAGGGACCCGGGGUGCAUUAGCUAGUUGGUGAGGUAACGGCUCACCAAGGCCACAAUGCAUAGCCGACCUGAGAGGGUGAUCGGCCAAACUGGGACUGAGACACGGCCCAGACUCCUACGUGAGGCAGCAGUAGGGAAUCUUCGGCAAUGGACGGAAGUCUGACCGAGCAACGCCGCGUGAGUGAAGAAGGUUUUCGGAUCGUAAAGCUCUGUUGUAAGAGAAGCGGUAUCUUACCAGAAAGGGACGGCUAACUACGUGCCAGCAGCCGCGGUAAUAC